CCAGACACUGAACUAAGCCCUGGGGUGGAUAACAGUUAUUCGAGUUUCAUCCAGAACACAACCUGCCUGGAAGCAGAAGGAUGGAAUCCAUGACUUCUCGGGACCCCAGACAUAUGAGUCAUGAAGCACAUGGAACAGAAGCAGAGAACUUCAAAAUCCAAUUGAAGCAACAUGCAUCUCGACGUAAUUAUGCAGCUGCCUACAGUCCCCUCCAGCUUGAUUAAACAGCCGCUGCAAAGACGCCCAGG